UACGGAGGGGGCUAGCGUUGUUCGGAAUUACUGGGCGUAAAGCGCGCGUAGGCGGCUUUGUAAGUUAGAGGUGAAAGCCCGAAGCUCAACUUCGGAACUGCCUUUAAGACUGCAUCGCUUGAACACGGGAGAGGUGAGUGGAAUUCCGAGUGUAGAGGUGAAAUUCGUAGAUAUUCGGAAGAACACCAGUGGCGAAGGCGACUCACUGGACCGUUGUUGACGCUGAGGUGCGAAAGCGUGGGGAGCAAACAGG
rnacentral:rRNA from 1 species